rnacentral:rRNA from 1 species
CCUACGGGUGGCAGCAGUGGGGAAUAUUGCACAAUGGGGGAAACCCUGAUGCAGCGAAGCCGCGUGAGUGAAGAAUUAUCUCGGUACGUAAAGCUCUAUCAGCAGGGGAGAAAAGGAAGGCACCUGUCCAAGAAGGUCCGGCUAACUACGUGACAGCAGCCGCGGUAAUACGUAGGAAGCAGGCAUUAUACGGAUUUACUGGGUGUAAAGGGAGCGUAGACGGGAGCAAAAGUCUGUAGUGAAAUGCCGGGGCUCAACCCCGAAACUGCUUUGGAAACUGGGCGGCUGGAGUGCAGUAGGGGUAGGCGGAAUUCGUGGUGUAGCGGUGAAAUGCGUAGAUAUUAGGAGGAACACCGGUUGCGAAGGCGGCUUACUGGACUGUAACUGACAUUGAUGCUCGAAAGCGUGGGGAGCAAACAGGAUUAGAUACCCUAGUAGUC